UACGUAGGGGGCAAGCGUUGUCCGGAUUUAUUGGGCGUAAAGAGCGUGUAGGCGGCCUGACAGGUCUGCUGUGAAAACUCGAGGCUCAACCUCGAGAUGUCGGCGGAAACCGUCUGGCUAGAGUCCGGAAGAGGAGAGUGGAAUUCCUGGUGUAGCGGUGAAAUGCGCAGAUAUCAGGAGGAACACCGGUGGCGAAGGCGGGUCUCUGGGCCGAAACUGACGCUGAGGAGCGAAAGCGUGGGGAGCAAACAGG
rnacentral:rRNA from 1 species